UACAUUCGCUUCAAGUUUGAAAUGUUUCAAAUUCAGGCAAAAUAAAUUUACGAAAAAUGUUUAAAGAAUUGUUGUAUAUUAUUAUCUUAUCAAAUCUAAUCAGGAAUUUCGUGCAAUUUACAUUAAAUUUGUGAUGUCAUCUAGAGCCGUGAUGAGCCCAUCAAACAGGAGUCGGAUUAGCUCACUCCAAGAAGGAAUAAAAACGCACGACUUGCGAUUGACAAAUUAAUGCGGAUCAGAAAUCAACACCUCAACAUGUUUAUCAUAUCAAAAAAUACAAGCGAAUUGGAGGAUUCCGAACCCAAACCCAAACCCAAACCCAAACCGAGGGCUGUCAGCGCUGGCGUUGAAAAUUAAUUAAAAACAUCAACAGAAUGCGUCGAGAUUUACAAAAUAACUGCGUUGAGGCUUCUGGCAUUAGUGUGGAUAAUUUCAGAGCGGAUUGCAGUUGGUUUGGCCUGCUGCUGCUGCUGCUGCUGUGGUGGGUGUCGCACCUUGGCGUGGCAGGCGAACCGCAAACCGAGCCAUCAUCCGUUCAUUCAUGGUUCACGAACCCUGAACGGUCUCUAAUCAACAACCCUUUUCAGAGUGCGACACGAAGCGAACUCAUCGCAGCAAUUCGGGGUCCUUGGCUGAGCCAUGAUGAUGAUGAUGAUGAUGAUGUCACUCUGUGUAUGGCUGACAAAACGCUUGACUGAUUACACUUGUAUCUGUUUUGGUAGCGGGCGCGUGUGUCCCGUGUCCCGAUUGUCGUUUCCCAAAUAUGUUCAAGGAUUUUAAAUUGUUGAUUCUCCCUCUCUCUCUCUCUCACUCAUUCUCUUCUUCUCCUCUCUUUCAGCUACUAGUUAGAUUGUGCGCUUGUGAUAAAUUUGGUUUAUUGAAAGGCGUCAGUGCGUGAAAUGAUGUGUGUCAAUUGCAUGAGUGAGUGAGCCAUGACUACGGCCGGGGCCGGGGCCGACUUUUUCGGCUUUGGGUUGGAGUUGACAGCGAUUAUGCAAAUCGGACGAAGAACUGCAUUAAUUCCUGCGGCCACAUCACUCCUCGCCGAGAUAAGCGUGGCUGGAGAGCAGCUUGUGGUCGCGUAUCUCGAGUUGAGGCUGCGGCUGCGGAGCUUUAAGUUUUUGCAUUGCGCAAAAUUUGCAUCGUCUUGCGGCAUUUGGCAACAAAUCUCGAAUGCAAUUUAUAUGCAAAAGUCAAGUCAAGUCGACACUUCCUAAUGAGCAAUUAAAACUCGAUGAAUUUUCCAAUUAAAUUGCCAAUAAAUCGCGCACAUAUGCGCACUUGGGAACGUGGCUCAUUAGUGUUAA